rnacentral:rRNA from 1 species
UGGGGAAUAUUGCACAAUGGGGGAAACCCGUGAUGCAGCAACGCCGCGUGAAGGAAGACGGUUUUCGGAUUGUAAACUUCUGUUCUUAGUGAAGAAUAAUGACGGUAGCUAAGGAGCAAGCCACGGCUAACUACGUGCC